rnacentral:rRNA from 1 species
AGUGAGCGCUGGCGGCGUGCCUAACACAUGCAAAUCGAGCGAGAUUAUACAGUACACCGUAUGGUCUAGCGGUAGACGGGUGAGUAACACGUGAGAAACCUUCCCUCGAAUGGGGAACACCUCCGGGAAACCGGAGUUAAUACCCCAUAAGACCACAGUCCGGCAUCGGACAGAGGUCAAAGGCGUAAGUCGUUUGAGGAUGGUCUCGCGUCCUAUCAGCUUGUUGGUGAGGUAACGGCUCACCAAGGCUAUGACGGGUAUCCGGCGCGAAAGGGCGAUCGGACAAACUGGAACUGAGACACGGUCCAGACUCCUACGGGAGGCAGCAGUGGGGAAUUUUGGACAAUGGGCGAAAGCCUGAUCCAGCGACGCCGCGUGGAGGAUGAAGGCCUUCGGGUUGUAAACUCCUUUUAGAGGGAACGAAUAAAUUGACGGUACCCUCAGAAAAAGCCACGGCUAACUACGUGCCAGCCGCCGCCGUAACAC